GCUCAGAUGAACUUUGGUGGUCCGAGGUGAAGGCUUCAAACCUGUAGCUGCUUAGAAGCGGACUGGUUCAAUUCUACCUUCUGGGCG